GAAGUAGAGAGUGUGGGCAAUCAAUUUCCUUGUUUUGGUAGGAUUUCUGCGAUAGCAGAGAGGGACGUUGUUCUCCUCGCCUGGUUUAGAGAAAACUGGAACGAUGCGGAACAAACCAACUUGUGAUAAUCAAAUCCACACACCGUACAGUGAGAUGGUCGGCGAUGCAACCUCAGCUCUGAAGGACCGCCCAGGCUCUACUCAGAAAAACAUCAACUCCUUACGUGAAUGCAUUAUAAUCUGCAGUUGGCAACCGCUGAGUCCACAAACUUGUCUCCAGGCGUGAGUGUUCAAAUACAGAAACUGGCGAACUUGUCACAAGGCGUUGAAGUGAACUGAGAUAUUGAGAGAUUCAUUUUAGUUUGCGCUCAAGACAACACCACGCUCCUUGAAAAAUGCUUUUGCUCCUCAAUGUCCUUUUGCAGUAGGAUUUCUUCCUCAACGCAAAACCGAAAUACCAUCAUGCCGUAACUCAGUACACCCAACCUACAACACCCUAAUGACAUUAUCACAAACAUUGAGAUGUAUGGAACGAUGAGAUGCACCGAGGAAGCCAGAUCCUUGGCGAGAAGCAACAAAAUCCAGACCACCACGACGGCCGUGAAGAUGCUGCAGAUCUUCCACACCAGCUUCAUGGCAAUGCAGUGCAGAAUUUGACCAAUCUCGUGGAGGCGUCCAUUUCGUGCGGUGCUCGAGAUGUGUGAAAAAGAUGUGGGGCCCAAAUCUGCGCAGCAUGCGCUUUUGGCCCGAGUUGGAACUGAAAAAACAGGAAGAAUAUAACUUAUCAAGUUGAAGGGCAAAUUUGCAAUUAUCACAAAAGGAGGGGUAGAUUCGAUAUGAUUCUUGAUAUAUAUUUUUAAAUUUUAGGGGCAUGUAUGAUAUUUUUCCUUAAAUAUGUCUAUUUAUAUACAUUUUCUAAUAAAGAAAUUCAAUCA